rnacentral:lncRNA from 1 species
GAGUGGUACAUGGCGUCGUGGAAGGACUCCGUCUGCGCCAUCCGCGCGCGCAGCUCCCGGGCCUUCUCCUCCGUCAGGCCCCCCACGAACGCCCUCCCCGGGGUGGCCGCCGACGCCGCCUCCUUCGCCGCGGGGGCCGGAGCCUCGAUGUAGUCGGCCUUCCCGGACCACCCCAGCAGGGGCGCCCACCACUUGCCGCCGCCCUCCCCGCCACCCGCCGCGGCGCGGGCCACCCCGGCGCCCGCGCUGGCGGCGCGCGGCCGGGCGGAGGAUGCCCCCGCCGGGCGGGCGGGGAAGGAGACGGAGGCGGCGGUUGCGCACGGUGCCAUCGCCAUUUCGGAUCGGUCGGUCGGGCUGUUGCUUGCUUUGGAAUUUGGUGGGUGGGUGCGAGGUGAGGAUGCUGCUGAAGCCUGGGAAAGAAAGAUGAAUGCUGAUGGUGAUGGAGGUGAAGGCCGUAGGGGUGGCGGGGCGUUUAUAGCGGCCGGAUAGGGGAGGGAGGGAUGGGAUGGGCGAGUGGAUAAGACCGCCGCGUGGAUACGUGCGCGGCAUCCUGGUACGGUGUUACAGGCUGUCCAGCAACGGUGGCCCGUCAUGUCACUGACGCGUGGGUCAGGUUGCGGGCUCCGGCUACGGCGUUGGUGUCUUUUUUUUUCUUUCUUUUCGCCGUGACGGUCAUGCCGUUGGGGGCGGUUAACGUUGUUGCGAAGGUAGGGCGAACACGCAAUGUCGUCUUAAUUUAGGUUUUUCUAGAAGAGAUGCUCACGGGGAAAGAGCAACUCCAACAAUAGUUCUUAUAUUGAUUUAAGCCCUAAAGAUUAAAUGGAGAUUCUUUCUAUUUUUUAAAUAGUUCUUAUAUUGAUUUAAGCCCUGAAGAUUAAAUGGAGAUUCUUUCUAUUUUUUAAGAGCCACAAAAAUACUUCCAAAUCAAGCAAUAGCCCUCAUAAAUAGAGGGCUCCCUAGUGACCCCUCAGGAAUGAAACGUGGAGGGGGAAUUUGAAAGCCUCACUAAAAUAGGGAGAUAAGUAGAGAGCUUGUUGGAAUGCAUUUUUUUUACUUGGCCCUCUAAAACUUAGGAUAGGGGGUUGUUUAGAGGAUGUGCUGGAAUUGCUCUAACAAUUUUUGGCAUCAUGAUGAUCUCUAUCUCAUGUUCGAUUCUGAACGAGAUAAAGAUCGAACUAUUUGUUUUGACUUUUCUAGAUACAUACCUUUUGAUAUACAUCUAAAUAUAUAUUAUGUCUAUAUAUAUAGCAAAAGUUAUAUACCUAGAAAAGCUAAAAUAGUAAUUUGUGACGGAGGGAGUAAUUUCUAAGAAUUUGUGUAUGACAUGGAAAAUUUCAAUUCCAUCCAUAUCAUAAUGAUAACAAUUUUUCAAGAUGCCUAAAAAAUGACCAUUGUCAAGUCUUACUGUUGUUAAAGAAUAAAUGCCAGCCACCUAUAUUGUACUCCAUAUUGGCAUAUUCAACUCAAGUAGAUGCCUCUGUCUACGGAGUACAUUUGCAUUUUCAACUCAAGUAGAUGCUUCUAUCUACAUCGUGUGAUUACCGCUUCUCGUUUGUUGACCAAAUUAGGUUUGGCAUCUUUGGUAGAACUUCGGCUCCUUCGAAAAAGACUCCGAUUGCGGUUCCUCUGAUGAAGUUGCUUCUCUAGUAGAGUUGGAACCGUUUUGACGUUUUGAAAAAUGUUUGGCAAAACGGCUUCUCCUAUUUUUCAUGAAUAAUGUCCAUUAUACCCCUCGCUAUCUAACUUCAUUGUAGCGAUUUCAUCUAAAAUAAAAAUGAUUAAUUAGUAUGAUUAUAGAUUAACAAUAAUCUACUUUUUCCUUUUCAUUUCCUUUUCUUUUUAUUAUUUUAUUCUCUCUACCCUUGUAUUUUUUUAUUUUUUUCUCACCUUUUAUUUUCUAUCUUCUCUCUCUCAAUCCAUCAUCCUUAUCCAAUGCUCGCUUCCUCCACCGCACAAGAAUGCUCCUCGGCCCUCGCUCUUCUCUGCCUUGUUGGCCGCUGCCGGCCUGCCGCUUGCGGGCUGCCCCAUGCGCGCGGCUCUGGCACCACCACGUUGCUCUGCUGCUGCUCCACCGCCCAUCUGCAUAGCAGCUGGUGCUCCACCCCUGCAGCUCCUUCAUGCUGUGUCCCUGCUGCUGCUCCACCGCCGUUGGCCGUUGCUCUGCUCUGUAGGCGUCGUGCCGGCUGCUCCAGCUCAGGGGCACCACUUUAGCCCCUGCACGAUGCUCCCCCGAAGCCGCAUGGCCCUAACGGCGACGCAACACUUCCCCAACGGCCCAUGACCCGACGCCAUGCGCUUUGCUGCCGUUUGUGGCAUUUUUAGGUGAAAUAAUCACCAACUCAAAAGGGUAUUCUGGUACGUGCUGGUGUGGGGACGGAGAGGAGCCGGAGGGAGCCAGUAUUUUUGGCUCCACCCCCUAGUUCAAAACCGGCUCCAGCUCCAUCGGUGCUUCAACAGAGGAGCUGCUACCUUUUUUUUUCAGGGCUCUAGCAGAAGCCACGGCGGAGCCCCACCAAAUUGGCCCUUAAUACUCUCCACUUGUUUGUCCUUUCUUCUUCUUUUUUGGAAGAGUUUGUUUGUCCUUAUUGACUUCCAUGGUUGGAAAGUUAGAACUAGGGUCACGCAAGCUGCGAGAACCGCCCUUUUGCCCAAGGUGAAAGGGUGACCAAGGCUUAUCGAAGGGGUAACUCGCCCAGGGGCAGACCCAGUAGAGGUACAUGGGUGUACAUAUGUACACAAAAAAUUUAUCUAGUACAUAUAGGUAUAUCCUAAUAUGUAAAAGUGGGUCAAAACGUGUCUGUCUGAGCCGAAACAAGAAAAACACGCUUGUGGGCCGGCUGUUUGCUCGGCUUGUUGCCUCACGACGUGAAUCCCCUUCUCUGUGAUCCCCGACGUCGUGAAUCGUGAUCCCCAUGCCUCCUCUCCUCUCUCAACUUCUCAUCCAUUUUCUAGUUUGCUGCCGCUAGUGCUAGGGUUAGCUUCCUUCCUUGGCCAUGGUUGUCCCCAUCCAUCGGUGCCUGCUAUAUGGAAGAGGAGCGCAAGAGCAGAGGGCUGAUCUGACAUGGGGUUUGUGCGCCAUGCCUUCUGCACAGCCGGCCAUAGCAAGGGCGGAACAAGUCACAGCGUGACAUCAACGGCCAUGGCAAGUGUGGAAGGGUCGGAAGCAUCGCCGGCCCCAGCAAGCACAAACACAGAGGAGGCAGAGCCCAUAUCGAGGGCAUUUUGCUUUGUUUGCUAUCAGGGAUACAAAUUCUAAGGGUGGAAGGGCCUGUUUGGUUUGAGUUGCUUAUUAUAAGCAACUUAAAGUUGUUUAUUUGGAGUUGCUUAUUUUUAGUCUAGCUGUUUGGAUACCCUUGCUUAUGAGCAUUGAAUGAGAUGGACAUUGUCAUAUUUGCCCCUUAUGUUGCUACCCCUCUUUUUUGCCUCCCACACUUCUUCUUCCUGCACACGCCCGAUCCCGGGGGCCGGCAGCGGGCAGGGAGCAGCAGCAGCUGGCCGGGGCGACGGUGGGGCGGGAGUGGCGAUGGAGCGGCGGCGGUGGGGCGGGAGCGGCGGGCGGCGGCCGGGGGCGGCGGCCGGGGGCGGCGGCCGGGAGCGGCAGCGGGUCUGCGUGGAGGCGGGUGGCGCGGAGGCAGGCGGCGGGCGGCGCGGAGGUGGGCGGCGGCGGGUGGCCCGGAGGAAUGGGAGCUGGUGAGUGGUGACGGGGGAGGGGGGAGAGAGAGAGAGGUAGAGUGCAUUGAACGAGGGCAGGAGGUGUAAAGUGCCCCUUUUAGUCCCCAUAAGCAGCUCUUGUGUUGCUUAUGGGCUAAAAAUAAGCAACCCCAUAAGCAAGAGUGAUUAGUUUCAUAAGUAACUUAUUUGCUUAUGCAUAAGUAUGUGAAACCAAACAGGUCCGAAAUAGUUUUCGGCUUUGAUUUUUGUGAAGAACAAGCUAAGAAAUAACACGAGGGGCGCUUCAAUAUUUAAAUGAUUGUUUGAUUACAUUUAUCGAGAAGGAACUUUCCUACAACAGACAUCAUCUCCCGUUUCCAAAAGCUGCCUCAUCGAGUUAAUUUGUAAUUUUUUAUAAGUUGAUGGUUUCAAAAUAUUGUAUGAAUACUAGAUUAAGGAACUAUUUAUACUAUACCAUGUAGCCUUUAACCUUUAUUUUCAUGAACCUUUAUCUUUUAUAUGCGAUGAUUGUUUGGUUCGUCACUAUGUAUACACACUCAAUCUUGAAUUCCUGCGCCUGCCACUGAACUUGCCCAUGCGGUCCUCUUGGAAGAAAGAAUUCAGCAGUGCGAUUAUUUGGACAUCCCAAUAAGCAGGCACUAGUGGUGUGACUUUCAAGAGGUUUCGCGGCACGGAUUCAUGGUAGCAAAUGGGAGCAAGGAUGCGUAGGGAGCAAAUAAUUUAUUACAUCUUGAAGUCAACUAAAAUAAAAAUGACGUGUAGAGAAGUAAUUUAUGGUUAGUAAAACUCGGUUUUUUGUCGUUGAAAACUCUCGAGAAAUUAUUCACCCGCAUUACUUGUUUCCUUUCACAAAUUUCCCUUCCUUCAAGAAGGUAGCCCCUGGCGGAUGUUUGAAUUUGUUCGGCUGCGCUGCAGGUGUUUUGCGUGCGCGUAUGCUCGGUCCGUGUGUUUCUCUAGAAAAGAUUGGCAUGCGACAUCGUAGUGCCUUUUACAUGGGACUCGGGCCGAUGUGGAACGGAAAGCCGAGAGCCACGAGUUGGUCAUCAAGAGAGAAUGACCCGGAUGGCCGCAGAUCAGGUGAGCAUUGAGAAUCGUCGUCUCGGAUCCUCGUCAGGUGGUCACGGUCCGUGAGGUCUGUGGACCACAGUGUCUGGUAGGUACUCCGUGCGGCGGGGCCUGGCUGCUUCGGCGCGCGUGCCAAGUGCCGGUCCGCGCCGCGUCACGGGCACCGACCGCGUCCCCGGCUCCCGCUCCGAGCCGAGUCAGCGCCACGCUGCUGCUGACACUUGAUGUCAAAACGUACGGGAGGGAGGGAGGGAGGGAGGAGGCGGCUCGAUGGCAACUCCGGCGGUGGGAGCCUCAUCCACGGCUUGUGUUGAUAGACGAUGCAAAAGCAGGGGAUCAUCAUCACACAUCUAAGCACCAAUCGGAUCAAAACAACAAAGUUUGUGAUGAUGUAAACCACAUUAAGCCGAGAUCACAGCACCAUCCGUACAUCCACGGUAAAAUGCGGAGUCAGAGAUGGACCAGAACGGGGUCGCGCGCUAAAACCGGAACCCCGUCCCGCUCCUCCUCGACAACGACUACCACUACCAGUCUACUACUACUAUGUACACGCGGCGCCGGCGAGUUCCUCGUCCCCGCGGCGGCGGCCUACUGGCCCUAGGCGGAGCGCGCGAGACGGGACGCGAUGGCGGAGUGGUACAUGGCGUCGUGGAACGACUCCGUCUGCGCCAUCCGCGCCCGCAGCUCGCGGGCCUUCUCCUCCGUCAGCCCCCCCACGAACUGCCUCCGGGCCGCCGCCGCGCCGUCCUGCGCCACCGCCACCACCGGCGCCGGGGCCUCCAGGUAGUCGGCCUUCCCCGACCACCCCACCAGCGGCGCCCACCACUUGCCGCCGCCCUCCG